rnacentral:piRNA from 1 species
AGAACAGGAAGAACCGAGCCCAC